GUCCAAAUAGCUCAAAGGAUAAGACGAUGGACUGGGACUCCUGAGGUCGUAGGUUCGAUCCUUACCUUAUUCA
rnacentral:tRNA from 1 species